CGGGGCGUCAUGGGGUGGCCCUGCCCCUCCAUCCGCGACGGCGCCGGUGGCGCCAUCUUACCCAGCUGCGGGAGGGGUCACAGGUCAGUACUGGAUCCUCUGCGAGGGAAGGAAGACGAGGUGGCUUUUCCUCGGGGCAGCCCAGGAAGGCCCCAAGAGGACAAUGGAUUCUGGAACUCGCCCUGUUGGUAGUGGCUGCAGCAGCCCCCCUGGGCUCUCACGGGAAUACAAACUAGUGAUGCUGGGUGCUGGUGGCGUAGGGAAGAGUGCCAUGACCAUGCAGUUCAUCAGUCACCGAUUCCCAGAAGAUCAUGAUCCCACCAUUGGUAAGUCAGAUCAUCACUGUGUUUCCAAAUAUAUCCCAUAAAAAUAUCUUAAUGAUAACUGUUUAUAUUUUGAGGCUUUUUUUUGGAGUCUAAUUCUGAUUUAUUUAGAAACAAGGGUAUCAACAAUUGGUAAGCAAGUGAAUAUUUCUUUUUUUCCAGACUUAACUCUGUAUGUCAUAAGCCAUCUUUAUUUUAGUCUCUGUCUCUCAUUGAACAUUAAUGGGACAACUCUCUUUGUUGUAUUUUUUUUUUGGUUGUAUAUAGGCCACUCAACGAAGCCUUUUCUUGCUG